GCCGCGAAACACGCGCGCCGCGGUGCAAUCGUCGUCGUGCUCUCGUCGCGCGCGAAUCGCAAACGUCCCGUUCGCGUACAACAGUGUCCACCGAUGCUUUGGAAAAGCGUAAACAAUACGCGAUAAAAAAAAAAAAAAAACGAAAGUCAACAAAAUAUAAUUUUUCCGUCUCGCUAUUUUUCAAACAAAAACCAAUCGAUUCACUGGCGAUCACUGCGUAGGUAUUUAUAUAAUUAUAUGUAUAUUCGUUGCCGACUUAGCUUGAGUUGUGACGACGACACGGCGCGAGUGAACGAGCGAGCGAAACAAGUUCUAACGAAAACGGCAUUUGCUUAGGUUUUCGAAACCGUUAGUCGACCACCCAUGAGUUUCGUGCAUGGUGCGUGCUCGCGCGUCGUCAAACCGUGUGGCGGACGGCACGGAAAACGAGGAGUUCCACUUGUGGCGGCGGCGGAGUUGACGGUGUUUUUCGUGGUGGUGAACACUUAGAGGUGGCUAUUCGUGCAUCUAGUUACUGAUGGUUUAGAUGACAAAAUGCUUCAGAGAUCACCCUCAUCUAGAAAAAGACGUGCAAUCAACAAUGAUACACGUCGGACAAGCGUCGCUUUCAAUCUGGAAAAUCAGUCGACGAGGCUUACGGAAGGCGGACGACAGCAGUCAUCGCCACAACACAGUGGGCAACACAGAAGAGCUAGUAUUGCGGCCACAUCACCAUCGGAUGGUUUCGAAAUGCGGCAACGGACUAGAAUAUCACCUGAGGAAGAAUUCUUUGAAUAUACGCAUAAACGAAGCCCCAGGCCAAGUUUUGUAUCUGAAACUAAGGUACAGUACAUCGACAAAAGUCCUAGAAACAGUCUGGUUCCAGAAAUGUCACGAAGCCCGCGAGCCAGUUUGGUACCAGCUGACCACAGAAAACCACCGCGAUUGUUACCAGAAGAACAACAAGAUUCGUAUACACGGUCUAGUCCGUCGAGGCUAGAAGUUGAAGUCAACCGGAGUCCAAGACAUAGCCUCACGUGUGAGCACCCUGAUCCAAGGAGUCCGAGGAGUCCAAGAGGCAGCAUGGUGCCAGAAGAUGAUUAUUCAGAAUUGAGAUCCGGAUUGCGGCUAGACGUGGAGAGCUUUAACCGGAGUCCGAGGUCGAGUACAGCCGGCUUGGACACGGCAAGAAGUCCAAAAAAUAGCUUAGUGCCGGAACCUAGUCGAUCACCCAGAGGAAGCAUAGCGUACGAUUUAAAUCGUAGUCCUCGAGGUAGUUUGGCAGUAACACCUGACACAAGCCGUAGUCCUAGGGGUAGCCUGAUACCGGACCCCGGGAAAAGUCCUAGAGGUAGCGUAGCGUCAGAAGGUGCAUAUAAUAUGAGUCGGUCAGCUAGGAGUAGCAUACCGAUGGCUGAUUCAGCUUCUUUGGGAAGAACUCCGAGAGGAAGCAUUAGUUCAGUAUCGUGUGUUCAUUUUGAUCCACAGUUGAAAUCUACUCGAAAUUCAAAGGAGCCGGGAAGUGGAUCUCCAAAAGGCACUCUGAAAGAUACUCAAAGAAGUUCAUCACCACAUAAGAACGCACAGUAUUCACAAAAACAGGGGUUUCCCGAUGAUUCAAGGAGAGCUAGCAGUAGUGUGAGCCAAGUAAGAAUAUCGGUUUCCGGUGACGAGAGGAAACGUCUGUGCGAGCAUGUGAAGCCUUGCGACAGUGGCCUAACCGUCUAUGGUUCGUUGACAUAUCAAUUGAACCACGCCAACAUGGAAUCGACAGGCAUAUUCGAUUUUAUUAUUAAAGCGCUGAGCAUCAUACACAGAACGGUGAUAGUGACAGUAAUUUUGUCCAUUCUAACAGUGGUGCCUUUAAUCAUGUUCGUUGUUGGUGUCCAGUUCGUGCGCGACUGCCCGCGGGAGCCGCAUAUACCGGUGUACAUGAUCGUGGGCGGCAUAUUCGGCACGAUCAAGAUGGUGUGGCUGCUGUGCCGGCAAGUGAAGUCGCUGCGGUACAACAGGCGCCGGCGGCCGGACAUGGGCACGCGCGAGGACAUGGUGUCGUCGAUGGGCUCGCGGAUCGCCGCCGUCGGGCUCACCGCGUUUCUGGCCGGCUGGUUCGCGCUCGGCAACUACUGGAUCCUGUCCGUGUACUGGCCCGACUCGGAGCCGUCGUCGCUGUACGAGCCGAACGUGUGGUGCAACCGCACGCUGUACGUCACCAGCCUGGUACACCUGGUGCUGGUGUACGCGGCCGCUGCGGCCGUGCUCGCGGCCGUCGUGGCCGUGCUGGUGUUCCAGCAGUGCGCGCUCCGGUUCAAAUAGCAUACGGCCACCACCGCGGCGUGCGGGUGCGCGCACGGACACCAUGGCGGCCGGCGCAUGACCGUCACCAGCAUAAUGCCGUACAGCGCCAUACACAUCAGCGUCACCCGGCCCGCCGACGAAUACCGAUUCGGCCGCGACGUGGCCUUGUGAUCGACUCGCCCGCACUAACCUCUUCCGCCACCACCCUCCGCCUUGCCGCUCUUCCGCAGUCGUCCCUUCGGAGAACGUUGGUUCCGGUUUGUGCGUCCGCUCCACCGCCGACCGGUUCAACUACCCUUCCCUCCACCCCCGGACACGGUUACCUUUUCACCAGGAUCCGGAGACCGUCAAAUAUCAUGCGCGAUCGGUGCGCGAAGCUCCUAUUCCGUCGCCCGUUCCCGGGACCUACCCCCGAACUAUCAUAAACGUUCCGAACAACAAACGCGCAUGCGCGUUCGUGUCAAUUGGAUCAUAUCGCUAAUGCUUCACUAUACAUUCCGUAGCUCGACCCAAAGAUACGACUCACCCUUGUCCCCGGUUCGGUGUUCGAUCGUUUUUGUUUUCAUAUCCAAACGCCUCUCUAUCUUCCUUGUGUUUGACGGUCGUGCCGACGUCAGCGUCAAGUUCGACAUAUCUAUUCGAUUUCCAAUCGCGCGUUUCACGCGGAACGCCGGUCCACGUCCUUACGUCGACCACACGCUUAAGUCAUGCAAUCGCAUCGUGAUCGAUCGAUCUCCGAAACGCCAUACCGUAUUGUUUUGCCCUUUGUUUUUUUGUUCAACAGGAAACACGAUUUACCGUAUUCGCCAUGCAGGUAAUGGUGUACCAUCAGAUUGCCGUAAAUAUAACAAUACUCGUGUACACAUGUAUGCGUUUCGCGAUGCAUCCCACGCGCAAUCUACAUCGAAUAUCAACAUUGUCAGUCCAUACGUUUUUAUUCAUCAUAAA
rnacentral:misc_RNA from 1 species